rnacentral:rRNA from 1 species
UACAGAGGUCCCAAGCGUUGUUCGGCGUCCCUGUUCUUCCCUCUCUCUUAGGCGGCUUGACAAGUCACUUGUGAAAUCUCCGGGCUUAACUCGGAAUGGCCAAGUGAAACUGUCAUGCUAGAGUGCAGAAGGGGCAAUCGGAAUUCUUGGUGUAGCGGUGAAAUGCGUAGAUAUCAAGAGGAACACCUGAGGUGA